GAUGAACGCUGGCGGCGUGCCUAAUACAUGCAAGUCGAGCGAACGGACGAGAAGCUUGCCUCUCUGAUGUUAGCGGCGGACGGGUGAGUAACACGUGGAUAACCUACCUAUAAGACUGGGAUAACUUCGGGAAACCGGAGCUAAUACCGGAUAAUAUUUUUAACCGCAUGGUUCAUAAGCGAAAGACGGUCUUGCUGUCACUUAUAGAUGGAUCCGCGCUGCAUUAGCUAGUUGGUAAGGUAACGGCUUACCAAGGCAACGAUGCAUAGCCGACCUGAGAGGGUGAUCGGCCACACUGGAACUGAGACACGGUCCAGACUCCUACGGGAGGCAGCAGUAGGGAAUCUUCCGCAAUGGGCGAAAGCCUGACGGAGCAACGCCGCGUGAGUGAUGAAGGUCUUCGGAUCGUAAAACUCUGUUAUUAGGGAAGAACAUAUGUGUAAGUAACUGUGCACAUCUUGACGGUACCUAAUCAGAAAGCCACGGCUAACUACGUG
rnacentral:rRNA from 1 species